GAUGAACGCUGGCGGCGUGCCUAAUACAUGCAAGUCGAGCGAACAGACGAGGAGCUUGCUCCUCUGACGUUAGCGGCGGACGGGUGAGUAACACGUGGAUAACCUACCUAUAAGACUGGGAUAACUUCGGGAAACCGGAGCUAAUACCGGAUAAUAUAUUGAACCGCAUGGUUCAAUAGUGAAAGACGGUUUUGCUGUCACUUAUAGAUGGAUCCGCGCCGCAUUAGCUAGUUGGUAAGGUAACGGCUUACCAAGGCAACGAUGCGUAGCCGACCUGAGAGAGUGAUCGGCCACACUGGAACUGAGACACGGUCCAGACUCCUACGGGAGGCAGCAGUAGGGAAUCUUCCGCAAUGGGCGAAAGCCUGACGGAGCAACGCCGCGUGAGUGGUGAAGGUCUUCGGAUCGUAAAACUCUGUUAUUAGGGAAGAACAAAUGUGUAAGUAACUAUGCACGUCUUGACGGUACCUAAUCAGAAAGCCACGGCUAACUACGUG
rnacentral:rRNA from 1 species